rnacentral:rRNA from 1 species
GAUGAACGCUGGCGGCGUGCUUAACACAUGCAAGUCGAACGGAAAGGCCCAAGCUUGCUUGGGUACUCGAGUGGCGAACGGGUGAGUAACACGUGGGUGAUCUGCCCUGCACUUCGGGAUAAGCCUGGGAAACUGGGGCUAAUACCGGAUAGGACGAUGGUUUGGAUGCCAUUGUGGAAAGUUUUUUCGGUGUGGGAUGAGCUCGCGGCCUAUCAGCUUGUUGGUGGGGUAAUGGCCUACCAAGGCGUCGACGGGUAGCCGGCCUGAGAGGGUGUACGGCCACAUUGGGACUGAGAUACGGCCCAGACUCCUACGGGAGGCAGCAGUGGGGAAUAUUGCACAAUGGGCGCAAGCCUGAUGCAGCGACGCCGCGUGGGGGAUGACGGCCUUCGGGUUGUAAACUCCUUUCGCUAGGGACGAAGCGUUUUUGUGACGGUACCUGGAGAAGAAGCACCGGCUAACUACGUG